rnacentral:rRNA from 1 species
GUCAUCAUGUCAAACAAGGUCUACUCUGAGGAGCAACCAGUCGUGAAUAUCUUCGGGAUAAAUUCGUGUACGUAAGGGGAUAUGUAGGAGUGGUUAUGGUGUAUCGUUUAGAUCGAUUAAUGGGUGGGAGAGGGACGCUCGGGAGGUGGUGUUGAUGUCGAUUGAGCCAGCUCUACCGAGCGUGACGUCGUUGUUUCGAGCACGACCAGCGGGACCACCGCCGUUACGAGGACCAUCGGAGGCUGCGCCGCUAGAGGACGCCAGUCCACUUGAGACGGGACCGGAGGACGCAGAGGAUGCGUUUUCCGUCGCCCCGGUCGGGCGGACCCCGGACGACAAGGCCUCAAUCCUCUAACCGGCCGAAUCGCGCCUCGUGGCGGCUGUUCGUUCGCCGUACGUCCACGUAGUUCUCACGACGGCCACCCGAGUUGGGGCCUUUCCGACGUUCAUAGGGGAGGUUCACGCCGCAGUCGUAGGGGAUGAGGUAGUCGCGUAGGCACCUGACGAGAUUCUAGGUGACUAGCUAAUGAACGGCGGUAGUAGCGGCUAAUAUCGAGGUCGCUAUCUACGGCUCAUGCAACUCCAGUGUGUGUGUGUAUAUAUAUAUAUAUAUAUAUAUGUGUAUAUGUACUUAUUUACGAGACUAUACUAGAGGUACACUCUCUGUCCUCAUGCAUGCAGCUCGGUCGAGACGUAUCGGCCGGUGACAACAUAGAUAAAACAUAGUCGCAAACUAACAAGCAAGUGAGGGAAACUCGUCUCUGCCCUCAAACAACAUGAAACAUGGUACACGUGAGUACCAUAAUAUUUAAUUAGAUCGAGAUAAGUCAAUUGUGCGCAGCAAUAAACUUUACUGAUUCUCGUUGAGAACAUAACAGUACAGCGGUAUACGUAAACCUCCGACCGGUCCACUGCUCGUUUAUUGAGUGUCAGCGGUAUAGAGUUGGAGCUUUACCAAACUGG